AGCCAAAACAACUGCCCUAAUCCUUUACCAAGUGCCAAUUCAUAUCCAAAUCCCAGCAUCGGAGAAAAACGCACAUACUGCUCUUCAAUGCAUGCUAAAGAUCCCGACAGACGAUCUCAGCGAAACAACCAUGAGAGCCGUGAACCAGUUCACAAGCCUACUAACUGGGACAACAAUUGGGUACAACGUGUAUGGCCUCUUUACUAUCAGCCCGCCG